UACGUAGGUGGCUAGCGUUGUCCGGAUUUACUGGGCGUAAAGAGCGCGCAGGCGGUCGUUCAAGUCGAGUGUGAAAGCCCCCGGCUCAACUGGGGAGGGUCACUCGAUACUGAUCGACUUGAAGGCGGGAGAGGGAAGCGGAAUUCCCGGUGUAGUGGUGAAAUGCGUAGAUAUCGGGGAGGAACACCAGUGGCGAAGGCGGCUUUCUGGCCCGUUCUCGACGGCUGAGGCGCGAAAGCUAGGGUAGCAAACGGG
rnacentral:rRNA from 1 species